GAUGAACGCUAGCUACAGGCUUAACACAUGCAAGUCGCAGGGUAACAUGAGGAAAGCUUGCUUUCCUUGAUGACGACUGGCGCACGGGUGAGUAACGCGUAUCCAACCUUCCCAUAACUACGGGAUAACCCGUUGAAAGACGGCCUAAUACCGUAUGACAUCGUUUGCUGACAUCAAAUAACGAUUAAAGGUUUAGCGGUUAUGGAUGGGGAUGCGUCUGAUUAGCUUGUUGGCGGGGUAACGGCCCACCAAGGCGACGAUCAGUAGGGGUUCUGAGAGGAAGGUCCCCCACAUUGGAACUGGGACACGGUCCAAACUCCUACGGGAGGCAGCAGUGAGGAAUAUUGGUCAAUGGGCGAGAGCCUGAACCAGCCAAGUAGCGUGCAGGAUGACGGCCCUAUGGGUUGUAAACUGCUUUUAUGUGGGGAUAAAGUGCGUGACGUGUCAUGCAUUGCAGGUACCACAUGAAUAAGGACCGGCUAAUUCCGUG
rnacentral:rRNA from 1 species